GAUUAACGCUGGCGGCGUGCAUAACACAUGCCAGUCGAACGAUGAAACUUAAAUGAUUUCUUCGGAAUGAACUUAAGUGGAUUAGUGGCGGACGGGUGAGUAACGCGUGAGUAACCUGCCUUACACAAGGGGAUAGCCGUUGGAAACGACGAAUAAUACCCUAUGAAACUAUCACUUCGCAUGAAGCGAUAGUCAAAGUGUUAGCGGUGUAAGAUGGACUUGCGUCUGAUUAGCUAGUUGGUGAGAAAAAAGCCCACCAAGGCAACGAUCAGUAGCCGGCUUGAGAGAGUGUACGGCAACAUUGGGACUGAGACACGGCCCAGACUCCUACGGGAGGCAGCAGUGGGGAAUUUUGCACAAUGGGGGAAACCCUGAUGCAGCGACGCCGCGUGAUUUAGAAGGCCUUCGGGUUGUAAAAAUCUUUUGUAUAGGAAGAAAAUGACAGUACUAUACGAAUAAGGUCCGGCUAAUUACGUG
rnacentral:rRNA from 1 species